rnacentral:rRNA from 1 species
GUCUAUGGCCAUACCACCCUGAACGCACUCGGUCUUGUCUGAUCUCGGAGGCUAAGCAGGGUCAGUCCUGGUUGGUACUUGAAUGGGAGAACUGAGCCAAAAUUUUGGACAAAUUGACU